AGUGACCGGCAGUCCCCGGGUAGCCAGGGUGUCUGGGUGUUGGGACCGCUUAGUCGCGAGACCCCAGCAAACCUCUUGGCGUCUCUGAGCCUCAGCUUUUGCUUCUGUAGAAUAGGGUGUACUCAUCGUACAUUUCAUGGGAAUACCUAACGCAGUCAUUUGGAUGGUCCUGUGAGGUAGAAAACAUUGUCCAACGUUCUACGCGAGGAAAUGUGGCUGGGCCACAGGACUGGACUCCCCAGUCCCGCUUUUGCCUGAAGACUUCGAGGGACGCAGUUGGAGCGCAAGGCUCCUGCUUGGCGGUGAGGCAGAGGGCUAACGACCUUCCUUCUCCUAAAUUCACUGAUGCGGCGGCAAGAAUGGCACCGCCUCGUAGAGCUACCGCAUUUCCCAAACUCGUAGUCUCAGGACCACUUUAUACUCAUAAAAAUGAGGGCCCCAAGCUUUUGCUAAUGUGGGUUACAGCUAUCGAUGUUACCACAUUCUAAGUUAAAAUGCUUUAAAGUUUUUUGUUGUUUCGUUUAAAAGUAAACAGCCGGGCGCGGUAGCUCACGCCUGUAAUCCCAGCACUUUGGGAGGCUGAGGCGGGCGUAUCACCUGAGGUCAGGAGUUUGAGACCAGCCUGGCCAACAUGGUGAAACCCUGUCUCUACUAAAAAUACAAAAAUGAGCCAGGUAUGGUGGCGCAGGCCUGUAAUCCCAGCUACUCCGGAGGCUGAGGCAAGAGAAUCAUUUGAACCCAGGAGGCGGAGGUUGCGGUAAGCCAAGAUCGCGCCAUUGCACUCCAGCGUGGACGACAGAGUGAGACUCCAUCUCAAAAAAAAAAAAAAAAAAAAAAGUAAACAUUACAUUCCACGCCCACCACCAAAAUAAAGGAGUGGUAUUGUUUUACACUUUUGCAAAUCUUUUUAAAAUCUGACCUAAUAGGUUCUCACAUGUGCUUCGGCAUUCGGUCUGCUGCAAUAUAUUGCAUUGGUUGACAUACACAUUGUGAAGAACAUCUGCAGUUAUGUAGUUCACAAAGAGAGGACCUGCAGACCCAACUUUGAGAACGGCUGGGCACCUUGCCAGGCCUUGGGAAUUGUAGUGAAAUCAGGCCAGUGACUCAGGAAAAUGAGCUGAAGGCUUUGAGCAUCUCUUUCCUCCAUUUUAGGCCUCAAAAGGGAGGCUGGGGCAGGGCAUGGUGACUCAUGCCUGUAAUCCCAGCAUUCUGGGAGGCCGAGGUGGGCGGAUCGCUUGAGCUUAGGAAUUCCAAACCAGCCUGGCAACAUGGUGAAACCCUGUCUCUACAAAAAAUUAGCAGGGUGUGGUAUCUGUGCCUGUAGCCCCAGCUACUUGUAGGGCUGAGGGGCUGAGGCGGGAGGAUCGCUUGUGCCCGGGAGGUUGAGGCUGCAGUGAGCCGUGAUCAAGCCACUGCACUCUAGCCUGGGUGACAAAGCAAGAUUCUGUCUCAAAAAAAAAAAGUGGGGGAGGCUGGGUGUGGUGGCUCACGCCUGUAAUCCCAGCACUUUGGGAGGCCAAGGCGGUGGAUCAUGAGGUCAGGAGUUUGAGACCAGCCUGGCCAAUAUGGUGAAACCCCAUCUCUACUAAAAAUACAAAAAUUAGCUGGGUGUGUGGUGCACGCCUGCAAUCCCAGCUACUCGGGAGGCUGAGGCAGGAGAAUUACUUGAACCCGGGAGGUAGAGGUUGCAGUGAGCCCAGAUCGUGCCACUGCAUUCCAGCCUGGGCAACAGAGCAAGACUCCGUCUGAAAGAGAAAAAAGGAGGCGGUGGGGGGGGGGUGGUGGGGAAGCUGGGUGGGAGGUGGCUCAGGACCCUCCACAGGGAUGGUUGAGAAAUGGGGGCAGAAACAGCCACUCCUGGAGGUAAGUAGCUCCCAACAGAGAGAGAGGACCUUAGGGCUCACAAAAUUCAGUCCUUCCCACGCCCCCACAAGGCCAGGGAAGCUUAAACAUGACUGCAGUUGAGUUCCUCAGCACCCUGCAAAAAGGAGAGUUGGGGUGAGAUUAAAUAAUAUAUUAAGCAUUAAAAUAUUUCCUUGAAACCUCUAAGGUGCUAGAAAUGUUCUGUAUCUUGAUUUUUUCCCCCAUGGAGGUGUAUUAUAUCCCUGAUACUUUAAAAUUGCCAUUAUAUGGUGAUGAUAAAAAGCAGAUUCAUGCUGGGGAUGGUGGCUCACGCCUGUAAUUACAACACUUUGGGAGGCCCAGGUGAGUGGAUCACUUUGAGUUCAGGAGUUCAAGACCAGCCUGGCCAACAUGGUGAAACCCAUCUCUACAAAAAAUAACAAAAAAAUUAGCUGGGCAUGGUGGUACACACCUGUAGUUCCAGCUACUCAGGAGACUGAGGUUGGAGGAUUGUUUGAGCCCAGGAAGUGGAGGUUGCAGUGAGCUGAGAGCACACCACUGCACUCCAGUCUGGGUGACAGAGCCAGAUGUUGUCUGAAAAAAAGGUUUUUUAAAUCCAAAUUUGGUUUUAUCAUUCUUUUUAAAUUCACAGGCAACAGCACCUGGGCAGACCAUGCCAUUUCCCCUCCUGAACUCGGGUGCUUUGAAAGAAGUAUAGGGGGCCGGUCGCGGUGGCUCCCGCCUGUAAUCCCAGCACUUUGGGAGGCCGAGAUGGCCGGAUCACCUGAGGCUAGAAGUUCAAGACCAGCCUGGCCAACAUGGUGAAACCCCGUCUCUACUAAAAAUACAAAAAUUAGUUGGAUGUGGUGGCGUGUGCCUGUAAUCUCAGCUACUUGGGAGGCUGAAGCUGGAGAACUGCAUCAAUCCAGGAGGUGGGGCUGCAGUGAGCUGAGAUCCUGCCACUGCACUCCAGCCUGGGUGACAGCAAGACUCCGUCUCAAAAAGAAAAAAGAAACAAAUAUGGGGACGAACAGUGGGAAUGCAGAGGAGAGGGUUCCCAUCUGAGGAGGCUGGAAGAAAAGAAGGCUGGAAAAGAACCAUGAGAAACACAUGUCUGUCGUUUAAGCUAUACAGCCUAUGGUAUUUUGUCAUGGCAGUCUGAGCCAAGAGAGGGAGCAAUUUAAUUAGAUGUGUUAUGCUCUUCUAUCUAGGUCCCAUAUAGAUUGCCAACACUGUUAGUGCUUUCUCCUUUUGUGUUAAAAAGGAAAGAUAGAGGAAGGGAGGGAAGAAGGAAGGAUGGAGAAGAGAACAGAAAAGUAAAAUGAAAAUGUCUUCUAACCAUAUUGAAAAGCUAUCCAGGGCCGGGCACGGUGGCUCACGCCUGUAAUCCCAGCACUGUGGGAGGAUGAGGCGGGCGGAUCACAAGGUCAGGAGAUCGAGACCAUCCUGGCCAAUAUGGUGAAACCCUGUCUCUACUAAAAAUACAAAAAUUAGCCGGGCGUGGUGGCAGGCACCUGUAGUCCCAGCUACUUGGGAGGCUGAGGCAGGAGAAUAGCUUGAACCCAGGAGGCAGAGGUUACAGUGAGCUGAGAUUGUGCCACUGCACUCCAACCUGGGCGAUAGAGUGAGACUCCGUCUGGAAAAAAAAGAAAAAGAAAAGUAUCCAGAAACAGGGUGGAAAAGCAUUGGUAAUUGUGGAGUACCAAGUAAUGAGUUCUUACUCUACUCUUGCUAUUUUUAUGUGUGUUCGGAAUUUUCCUUACUAAGAAAGUAUGUGAUACCAUGCGUUGCCACGAUAUGGCAUGGCAUGAUGAGAAGGCACUUCACCUCUGUGGCGUUUCCCCCCAACCCAUAAGCCCUUUCUAAUCAUUAGAAAACAUUAAACAAACCCAAAUUGAGGGACAAUUCACACAGUUCACACAGUUCAUACUGAGACACGGACCAGGAGAAGGAAGGAUCUGGGGGAACGGGAGACUGACCCAGUCUAACCAGGACUUCAAAACUGCCAUGGUCAUGGAAGACAAGGAUAAACUGAAGAAGUGUCACAGAUCAGGGAACCCUAAGGAGACAUGAUGACUCAAUGCAAUGUGGGAUCUUGGAUUGGAUCCUGGAACAGAAACAGACAUUGAUGGGAAAACAGGUAAAAUCCAAAUAAAACCUAAAGUUUAGUUAAUAGUAGUGUACUAAUGUAAGUUGUUUUGUUUGGGCAUGUGCCAGUUAUGUGUAUUCACUUUGGGGGCGGCUGGUGAAGAGCACAUAGGAACUCUGUACUACCUUUACAACAUUUGUGUAAAUCUAAUCCCAAAAUAAAAAGUUCAUUUACAGAAAAAG
rnacentral:lncRNA from 10 species